rnacentral:rRNA from 1 species
CCUACGGGAGGCAGCAGUGAGGAAUAUUGGUCAAUGGGCGGGAGCCUGAACCAGCCAAGCCGCGUGAGGGAGGAAGGUACAGCGUAUCGUAAACCUCUUUUGUCAGGGAACAAAGACUGGGACGCGUCCCCGGAUGAGGGUACCUGAAGAAAAAGCAUCGGCUAACUCCGUGCCAGCAGCCGCGGUAAUACGGAGGGUGCGAGCGUUAUCCGGAAUUAUUGGGGGUAAAGAGUACGUAGGUGGCAAGCUAAGCCCAGGGGUAAAGCCAGUGGCUAAACCACGGAUCGCCGUGGGAACUGGGAGGCUUGAGUGCGGGAGAGGAAAGCGGAAUUCGUAGUGUAGCGGUGAAAUGCGUAGAUAUUAGGAGGAACACCAGUGGCGAAGGCGGCUUUCUGGACUGUAACUGACGCUGAGGCACGAAAGCGUGGGGAGCAAACAGGAUUAGAUACCCCGGUAGUC